AGCGGCGGACGGGUGAGUAACGCGUGGGUAACCUGCCUCAUACAGGGGGAUAACAGUUAGAAAUGACUGCUAAUACCGCAUAAGACCACAGCACCGCAUGGUGCAGGGGUAAAAACUCCGGUGGUAUGAGAUGGACCCGCGUCUGAUUAGCUAGUUGGUAAGGUAACGGCUUACCAAGGCGACGAUCAGUAGCCGACCUGAGAGGGUGACCGGCCACAUUGGGACUGAGACACGGCCCAA
rnacentral:rRNA from 1 species